rnacentral:rRNA from 1 species
GAAACACGGACUAAGGAGUCUAGCAUGUGCGCGAGUCAUUGGGAAUUACUAAACCUAAAGGCGCAAUGAAAGUGAAGGUCCGCCUUGCGCGGACCAAGGGAAGAUGGGCGCGUCCGGUGAUUACCACGGCCGCCCCGCACUCCCGGGGCGUCUCGUUCUCAUUGCGAGAAGAGGCGCACCAAGAGCGUACACGCUGGGACCCGAAAGAUGGUGAACUAUGCCUGGUCAGGACGAAGUCAGGGGAAACCCUGAUGGAGGUCCGUAGCGAUUCUGACGUGCAAAUCGAUCGUCGGAACUGGGUAUAGGGGCGAAAGACUAAUCGAACCAUCUAGUAGCUGGUUCCCUCCGAAGUUUCCCUCAGGAUAGCUGGCGCUCGUUGCAUACGAGUCUCAUCCGGUAAAGCGAAUGAUUAGAGGCAUUGGGGUCGAAACGGCCUCAACCUAUUCUCAAACUUUAAAUGGGUGAGAUCUCCGGCUUGCUCAAACAUUUUUUAAAUGAAGCCGCGAGAAACGGAUCAGAGUGCCAAGUGGGCCAUUUUUGGUAAGCAGAACUGGCGCUGUGGGAUGAACCAAACGCCGAGUUAAAGCGCCUAAAUCGACGCUUAUGGGAUACCAUGAAAGGCGUUGGUAACUUAAGACAGCAGGACGGUGGCCAUGGAAGUCGGAAUCCG